CUGUGUCUCUCUUUCUCUCUCUCUCUUCCAACCUUUGGAUGAGUCUGUGCUGGCGGAUUUUAAAAUCCCGUCUUGGCUGUGGAAUUUCUUUGGUGGACUUGCUGGGGGGCUGGUGUUAUAAAACAUGUCACCAUAACCAGCCCUCAUCUUUUUCUUUUUCUUUUUUUUUUUUCUCUUUCUUCUUCCCUUUUUUUUUUUUUUUUUGCUUCAAAGUUCUUUUGUUUCCAUUGCCCUCUUCCUCUUUAACCUCCUCCUCCCCACCCAGUAAAUCACCAAACUGUUACCGAGAGGGCCGGAGCCUGCCUCUCUCGCUGAACUAGGUGGUGGCUCUGCCAGAAGAGGAGCUAUGUUUGAAGAGCAGCCUGCUCCACCCCUCUCCUCUCCGCUCCCUGAACACUACCACACACUGGCAUUUUGAGAGAGAGAGAGGAAAAAAAUUGCAUCCAGAAACUGAGCACCCCCAAGUCCUUUCCCCCUCCCCCCCGGUUUUCUUUCUUGAGGAAUGGAGCUUCGCAGAGGUUGAAUUUAGAUUCAACAGUUCGGAGCUGCAGCUCGCGGCCGCCUCUCCGAAGAGCUCGCCGGCUCGCAGGGCUCCCCCGAGGCGGUGGUCCGCGUGCCUGCCUGUCUGGAUGCGGCUCUGACUCUCCGUGUGUCUUGCUGCUUGUUGCUGUGUGCGGGCUGCUCGGCGAUCACCUUCUGUGUCUUCUGUCUGUUUAAACUUCAGGAUGGCUCGCUUCGGGGAGGCGGUGGUCGGCAGGCCUGGGUCCGGCGAUGGAGACUCGGACCAAAGCAGGAACCGUCAAGGAACCCCGGUGCCGGCCUCAGGGCCAGCGGCCGCCUACAAGCAAUCCAAAGCGCAGAGGGCGCGGACUAUGGCUUUGUACAACCCCAUUCCUGUCCGGCAGAACUGUUUCACCGUCAACAGAUCCCUGUUCAUUUUUGGAGAAGAUAACAUUGUCAGGAAAUACGCCAAGAAGCUCAUCGAUUGGCCGCCCUUUGAAUACAUGAUCCUGGCCACCAUUAUUGCCAAUUGUAUCGUCUUGGCCUUGGAGCAGCAUCUCCCUGAGGAUGACAAGACCCCGAUGUCCCGAAGACUGGAGAAAACAGAACCAUAUUUCAUUGGGAUUUUCUGCUUUGAAGCUGGGAUCAAAAUUGUGGCCCUGGGGUUCAUCUUCCAUAAGGGUUCAUAUCUCCGCAAUGGCUGGAAUGUCAUGGACUUUAUUGUGGUCCUCAGUGGCAUCCUGGCCACUGCAGGAACGCACUUCAACACGCAUGUGGACCUGAGGACCCUCCGGGCUGUGCGUGUCCUGAGGCCCUUGAAGCUUGUGUCAGGAAUACCUAGCCUGCAGAUUGUGCUCAAGUCCAUCAUGAAGGCCAUGGUGCCUCUCCUACAGAUUGGCCUUCUGCUCUUCUUUGCCAUCCUGAUGUUUGCCAUCAUUGGCUUGGAAUUCUACAGUGGGAAGUUACACCGAGCAUGCUUCAUGAACAAUUCAGGUAUUCUAGAAGGAUUUGACCCCCCACAUCCAUGUGGUGUGCAGGGCUGCCCAGCUGGUUAUGAAUGCAAGGACUGGAUCGGCCCCAAUGAUGGAAUCACCCAGUUUGAUAACAUCCUUUUUGCUGUGCUGACUGUUUUCCAGUGCAUCACCAUGGAAGGGUGGACCACCGUGCUGUACAAUACCAAUGAUGCCUUAGGAGCCGCCUGGAAUUGGCUGUACUUCAUCCCUCUCAUCAUCAUUGGCUCUUUCUUUGUUCUCAACCUCGUCCUGGGUGUGCUUUCCGGAGAAUUUGCCAAAGAGAGAGAAAGAGUGGAGAACCGGAGAGCAUUCAUGAAACUGCGGCGUCAGCAACAGAUUGAGCGUGAGCUGAAUGGCUACCGUGCCUGGAUAGACAAAGCAGAGGAAGUCAUGCUUGCAGAAGAAAAUAAAAAUGCCGGAACAUCAGCCUUAGAAGUGCUUCGAAGGGCAACCAUCAAAAGGAGCCGGACGGAGGCCAUGACCCGAGACUCCAGCGAUGAGCACUGCGCUGAUAUCUCUUCUGUGGGCACACCUCUUGCCAGAGCCAGUAUCAAGAGUACGAAGGUUGAUGGGGCCUCCUAUUUCCGGCACAAAGAAAGACUUCUGCGCAUCUCUAUUCGCCACAUGGUCAAAUCCCAGGUGUUUUAUUGGAUUGUCUUGAGCCUCGUGGCUCUGAACACUGCCUGUGUGGCCAUCGUCCAUCACAACCAGCCCCAGUGGCUCACUCACCUCCUCUACUAUGCAGAAUUUUUGUUUCUGGGGCUCUUCCUCUUGGAGAUGUCCCUGAAGAUGUACGGCAUGGGGCCUCGCCUUUAUUUUCAUUCUUCAUUCAACUGCUUUGAUUUUGGGGUCACAGUGGGAAGCAUCUUUGAGGUGGUCUGGGCAAUCUUCAGACCGGGUACAUCUUUUGGAAUCAGUGUCUUGCGUGCUCUCCGACUUCUAAGGAUAUUUAAAAUAACCAAGUAUUGGGCAUCCCUCCGGAACUUAGUAGUCUCCUUGAUGAGCUCCAUGAAGUCUAUCAUCAGUUUGCUCUUCCUCCUCUUCCUCUUCAUUGUUGUCUUCGCUCUCCUAGGGAUGCAGUUGUUUGGAGGCAGGUUUAACUUUAAUGAUGGAACUCCUUCAGCAAAUUUUGAUACUUUCCCUGCUGCCAUCAUGACUGUGUUCCAGAUCCUGACAGGAGAGGACUGGAAUGAAGUGAUGUACAAUGGGAUCCGCUCUCAGGGUGGGGUCAGCUCAGGGAUGUGGUCCGCCAUCUACUUCAUUGUGCUCACUUUGUUUGGAAACUACACACUACUAAAUGUGUUCUUGGCCAUUGCUGUGGACAAUUUAGCCAAUGCCCAGGAGCUAACCAAGGAUGAGCAGGAGGAAGAGGAGGCCUUCAACCAGAAACACGCACUGCAGAAGGCCAAGGAGGUCAGCCCGAUGUCUGCACCCAACAUGCCUUCUAUGGAAAGAGACAGAAGGAGAAGACACCACAUGUCGAUGUGGGAGCCGCGCAGCAGCCACCUGAGGGAGCGGAGGCGUCGGCACCACAUGUCGGUGUGGGAACAGCGCACCAGCCAGCUGAGGAGGCACAUGCAGAUGUCCAGCCAGGAGGCCCUCAACAAAGAGGAGGCCCCACCCAUGAACCCUCUCAAUCCUCUCAACCCCCUGAGUCCCCUCAACCCACUCAAUGCCCACCCCAGUCUCUACCGGAGGUCCAGGCCCAUUGAAGGUCUGACCUUAGGCCUGGGCCUAGAAAAGUGUGAAGAGGAGCGCAUCAGCCGUGGGGGUUCCCUCAAGGGAGAUGGAGGCGACCUGACCAGUGCCCUGGACAAUCAGAGGAGCCCCUUAUCCUUGGGCAAACGGGAGCCACCAUGGCUCUCCAGGCCUUGUCAUGGGAAUUGUGACCCAAGCCAGCAGGAGGCUGGGGGAGGAGAGACUGUGGUAACCUUCGAGGACAGGGCCAGGCACAGGCAGAGCCAGCGGCGAAGCCGGCAUCGUCGAGUCAGGACUGAAGGGAAGGAGUCCUCCUCAGCCUCACGGAGCAGGUCUGCCAGCCAGGAGCGGAGUCUGGAUGAAGUGGUAUCUACUGAGGGAGAGAAGGAACAUGAGUCCCGGGGCAGCCAUGGGGGCAAGGAACCGACAAUCCAUGAAGAGGAAAGAACCCAGGACUUAAGGAGGACCAACAGUCUGAUGGUUCCCAGAGGCUCUGGGCUAGCAGAAGCCCUUGAUGAAGCCAAUACACCUCUAGUCAUGCCUCAGCCUGAGCUGGAGGUAGCAAAGGAUGCAGUGUUGACUGAGCAGGAACCAGAAGGCAGUAGUGAGCAAGCGCUGCUGGGGAAUGUGCAGCUGGAUGUAGGCCGGGGAAUCAGCCAGAGUGAGCCUGACCUAUCCUGCAUCACGGCCAACACGGACAAGGCAGCCACCGAGAGCACCAGUGUCACCGUGGCCAUCCCUGACGUGGGGCCCUUAGUGGAUUCGACGGUGGUGCACAUUAGUAACAAAACUGAUGGGGAGGCCAGUCCUUUGAAGGAGGCAGAGGUCAAAGAGGAAGAAGAGGAAGAAGUAGAGAAGAAGAAGAAGAAAAAGGAGAGGCGUGAGACAGGCAAAGCCAUGGUGCCACACAGCUCCAUGUUCAUCUUCAGCACCACGAAUCCGAUUCGCAGGGCCUGCCACUACAUUGUGAACCUGCGCUACUUUGAGAUGUGUAUCCUUCUGGUGAUUGCAGCCAGCAGCAUUGCCCUGGCAGCUGAGGACCCUGUUCUGACCAACUCUGAGCGCAACAAAGUCCUGAGGUAUUUUGACUACGUUUUCACAGGCGUGUUCACCUUUGAGAUGGUUAUAAAGAUGAUAGACCAGGGCUUGAUUCUGCAGGAUGGAUCCUACUUUCGAGACCUCUGGAACAUCUUGGACUUUGUGGUGGUGGUUGGUGCAUUGGUGGCCUUUGCUCUGGCGAACGCUUUGGGAACCAACAAGGGGAGAGACAUCAAGACCAUCAAGUCUCUGAGGGUGCUCAGAGUGUUGAGGCCCCUGAAAACCAUCAAGCGCUUGCCCAAACUCAAGGCUGUAUUCGACUGUGUGGUGACUUCUUUGAAGAAUGUCUUCAAUAUACUCAUUGUCUACAAGCUCUUCAUGUUCAUCUUUGCUGUCAUCGCAGUUCAGCUUUUCAAGGGAAAGUUCUUUUACUGCACAGACAGCUCCAAGGACACAGAGAAGGAAUGCAUAGGCAACUAUGUAGACCAUGAGAAAAACAAGAUGGAGGUGAAGGGCCGAGAAUGGAAGCGCCAUGAAUUCCAUUAUGACAACAUCAUCUGGGCUCUGCUCACCCUCUUUACAGUCUCUACAGGAGAAGGAUGGCCUCAGGUUCUGCAGCAUUCUGUAGAUGUGACAGAAGAAGACCGGGGUCCAAGCCGCAGCAACCGCAUGGAGAUGUCUAUCUUUUAUGUGGUCUACUUUGUGGUCUUCCCUUUCUUCUUUGUCAAUAUCUUCGUGGCUCUCAUCAUCAUCACUUUCCAGGAACAAGGGGAUAAGAUGAUGGAGGAGUGCAGCCUGGAGAAGAAUGAGCGGGCGUGCAUUGACUUUGCCAUCAGUGCCAAACCUCUCACACGCUACAUGCCACAGAACAGGCACACUUUCCAGUACCGCGUGUGGCACUUCGUGGUUUCUCCAUCCUUUGAGUACACCAUCAUGGCCAUGAUCGCUUUGAACACUGUCGUGCUGAUGAUGAAGUAUUAUUCUGCUCCAUGUACCUAUGAACUGGCACUGAAGUACCUGAAUAUUGCCUUUACCAUGGUGUUUUCCCUGGAAUGUGUCCUAAAGGUCAUCGCAUUUGGCUUCUUGAACUACUUCCGAGAUACGUGGAAUAUCUUUGAUUUCAUCACAGUGAUUGGCAGUAUCACAGAAAUUAUCCUGACAGACAGCAAGCUGGUGAACACCAGUGGCUUCAAUAUGAGCUUUCUGAAGCUCUUCCGAGCUGCCCGCCUCAUAAAGCUUCUGCGUCAGGGCUACACCAUUCGUAUUUUACUUUGGACCUUUGUACAGUCCUUCAAGGCCCUCCCCUAUGUCUGCCUUCUGAUUGCCAUGCUCUUCUUCAUUUAUGCCAUCAUUGGAAUGCAGGUAUUUGGAAACAUCAAAUUAGAUGAGGAGAGUCACAUCAACCGGCACAACAAUUUCCGGAGUUUCUUUGGGUCCCUCAUGCUACUCUUCAGGAGUGCUACAGGUGAGGCCUGGCAAGAGAUUAUGCUGUCAUGCCUUGGGGAGAAAGGCUGUGAGCCUGACACCACAGCACCUUCGGGGCAAAAUGAGAAUGAGCGCUGCGGCACCGAUCUGGCCUAUGUUUACUUUGUCUCCUUCAUCUUCUUCUGUUCCUUCCUGAUGCUCAACCUGUUUGUGGCCGUCAUCAUGGACAACUUUGAGUACUUGACUCGAGAUUCCUCCAUCCUGGGGCCUCACCACUUGGAUGAAUUUGUCCGAGUAUGGGCAGAAUAUGAUAGAGCAGCAUGUGGCCGCAUCCAUUACACUGAGAUGUAUGAAAUGCUGACUCUCAUGUCACCACCGCUAGGCCUCGGCAAGAGAUGUCCCUCCAAAGUGGCAUAUAAGAGGUUGGUCCUGAUGAAUAUGCCUGUAGCUGAGGACAUGACUGUCCAUUUUACUUCUACACUUAUGGCCCUGAUCCGGACAGCUUUGGACAUUAAGAUUGCCAAAGGUGGUGCAGACAGGCAGCAGCUAGACUCAGAGCUACAAAAGGAGACCCUGGCUAUCUGGCCUCACCUGUCCCAGAAGAUGUUGGAUCUACUGGUGCCCAUGCCCAAAGCCUCUGACCUGACUGUGGGCAAAAUCUAUGCAGCUAUGAUGAUCAUGGACUACUAUAAGCAAAGUAAGGUGAAGAAGCAGAGGCAGCAGCUGGAAGAACAGAAAAAUGCGCCCAUGUUCCAGCGUAUGGAACCCUCAUCACUACCCCAGGAGAUCAUUGCUAAUGCUAAAUCUCUGCCUUAUCUGCAGCAGGAUGCUGUUUCAGGCUUGAGUGGCCGGAGUGGAUACCCUUCAAUGAGUCCACUCUCCCCCCAAGAAAUAUUCCAGUUGGCUUGUAUGGACCCAGCCGAUGAUGGACAAUUCCAGGAACAACAAUCACUGGAGCCAGAGGUUAGUGAAUUAAAAAGCAUGCAGUCCUCUAACCAUGGCAUCUACCUUCCUUCGGACACCCAGGAGCAUGCGGGAUCUGGGAGGGCGUCCUCUAUGCCACGUCUGACUAUGGAUCCCCAGGUGGUGACAGACCCUAGCUCCAUGAGACGUUCAUUUUCCACCAUUCGGGAUAAACGUUCAAAUUCUUCCUGGUUGGAGGAAUUCUCCAUGGAGCGAAGUAGUGAAAAUACCUACAAAUCACGCCGCCGGAGUUACCACUCUUCCCUGAGGCUGUCAGCCCAUCGCUUGAACUCUGACUCAGGCCACAAGUCUGACACCCACCGCUCAGGGGGCAGGGAGCGAGGACGAUCAAAAGAACGAAAGCAUCUUCUAUCUCCUGAUGUGUCCCGCUGCAAUUCUGAAGAGCGAGGGAACCAGGGUGACUGGGAGUCCCCAGAGCGCAGGCAGUCCAGGUCACCCAGUGAGGGCAGGUCACAAACCCCCAACAGACAGGGCACAGGUUCCCUGAGCGAAAGCUCCAUCCCCUCUAUCUCUGACACCAGCACCCCAAGACGAAGUCGUCGGCAGCUCCCACCAGUCCCACCAAAGCCUCGGCCCCUCCUCUCCUAUAGCUCUCUGAUGCGUCAUGCUGGCAGCAUCUCUCCACCAGCUGAUGGAAGUGAGGGCGGAUCGCCCCUGACCUCUCAAGUCCUAGAGAGCAACAACGCUCGUCUGACGGAGUCUUCCAACUCUCCACACUCCCAGCAGGGCCAGCACUCUUCCCCUCAACACUACAUCUCCGAGCCCUACCUGGCCCUGCACGAAGACUCCCAUGCCUCAGACUGUGGCGAGGAGGAGACACUCACCUUUGAAGCAGCGGUGGCUACGAGCCUGGGCCGUUCCAACACCAUCGGCUCAGCCCCGCCCCUGCGGCACAGCUGGCAGAUGCCCAAUGGGCACUAUCGGCGACGGAGGCGUGGGGGGCCUGGGCCCGGCAUGAUGUGUGGAGCUGUCAGUGACCUCCUGAGUGACACGGAAGAAGAUGACAAAUGCUAGAGGCUGCUCCCCCCUCCGAUGCAUGCUCUUCUCUCACAGGGAGAAAAAAAACAAGACCGAAUUGGGAAGCCAGUGCGGCCCGGGGGGGAGGAAGAGGGAGAAGGAAGAUGGAACGACCGCCAUGCAUUAUCAGAGAAGGGGAAGUAAAGUACAAAUGGCAAAAUCAGUCAAACCCACAAAAUUGCUUCAUUUCCCUUUGCAAGAUGGGCACUGCCAUAAGUUCUGCCUCUUUGCUAGGGAAAGCAAGUUUUCUCUGCUCGGCCUUAUUUCAUGCCAAAGUGCUGCUAUGGGCUGCUUCAUGUGCACAAAUUGCUUUCCUCCACUUUGGAUAUGUAGCUUUCCUGGGAAGGCCUGGAACAGGAGGACCAUUCUGAGCCAGUGAGUCUGUUAAGAUGGUGAUUUGAGAAAGCCAAUCACUGAGGCACUUUGAUGCUAUUUCAACAGUAUGCUGUUGAAAUUUCAGAUGCUGGCUGGCAGAACACAAAAUUUGCCUGCAAAGAAUAGUAUAAACACCAAAUUUACUGUGCCAGAAACCUCCCCGCACACCUAAACUCCCUGAAAACACACCAGUCCUGUAUAAAGUGCUUUAAGAUCGUAGAGUAUUGCAGAUAUGGUUACCUGAUUGACCACCUGGUUUUGCUAAUACUAAUAUAUCUAUAUAUAAACCUUUCCUAUGUUCAACUUCCCCUGGCCAAGAAAUUGGGUUUCUUUUCCCUUAGCCUGCACUUAUCCUUCUAUUAAGACCAGAGGAAGAAUUGUUAAGUCAUAAACUCAUUAUCAUAAUUAUCUUUGGUUUCCUACUGCCUCUGAAUAAAUGUGAAUGCUAACCUUCCCCUUGUAGCCAACCAGACUUCUCAUAGGUAUCAGAUCUGUCUCUUCUCUUUCCCUUGAAAAGAGGGUCUUUAGAUCUCAAAACCUAUGCUUCUCUUUGCAUCAAGCAACAACUGCAUCUUGUGAUACAUCGCACACCGCAUGAUAAAUUUGGGUACUGGAGGUCCCCUCAGAAGAUUUCUAAGUCAGAUGUCCAAUGUUAAUCUUCACCAUAUCCUUAACAUGAAAGAGGGAAGGUGGAAAAUUAAGCAAGGCAAGGAAGUGGUAUAACUCAGUUUGUGUUCAGCUACGCCUUUCAUAUCUCUAACACAGACUUAUACAUCACCAUCUUCUUUCUGCAGGAGAGCACUAGUAGGCCUUCAGACACGAGGGAGGACUCUAGCCAAGAUGCCUUGUAUGUCAGAAUCCAUAUAGAAUUAUCUUCCCAUAAAGGGAUGGUACCUUCUAGUAUCCCCUGACUAGUCUACAUGAGCCAUCAGCCAAUUGCCCAAUGGGGAACUGCACCAUUCUUCUACUACAGAUUUCACUUCUCUUCUCUGCUUGUUGUCCCUGCAGGGAACUUAGGGCACCCAAAGGAUUUCCCUGAAGUUGAACUUCAGAUGUUCUGGAUUUUGCCCUCCCUUGAUUCUGGAGCCUCAAGGACAAGAAUCCAUA